AGGAUGAACGCUAGCUACAGGCUUAACACAUGCAAGGUCGAGGGGCAGCAUGAUCAAAGCUUGCUUGAUUGAUGGCGACCGGCGCGACGGGUGAGUAACGCGUAUCCAACCCUUCCCUUAGGUAGGGCAUACGCCCGGCGAAAGUCGGAUUAAUACCCUAUGUUAUCCGAAGAGGACAUCUGAAUUGGAUUAAAGAUUUAUCGCUAAGGGAUGGGGAUGCGUCUGAUUAGGUAGUCGGCGGGGUAACGGCCCACCGAGCCUACGAUCGGUAGGGGUUCUGAGAGGAAGGUCCCCCACAUUGGUACUGAGACACGGACCAAACUCCUACGGGAGGCAGCAGUAAGGAAUAUUGGUCAAUGGGCGCGAGCCUGAACCAGCCAAGUAGCGUGCAGGAUGACGGCCCUAUGGGUUGUAAACUGCUUUUAUGCGGGGAUAAAGUGCACCACGUGUGGUGUUUUGUAGGUACCGCAUGAAUAAGGACCGGCUAAUUCCGUGCCAGCCGCGGC
rnacentral:rRNA from 1 species